GGAGAGGUGGCUGAGCUGGCUGAAGGCGCUCGCCUGGAGAGCGAGUAGGCGGAUGAUAAGUCUGCCUCGUGGGUUCAAAUCCCACCCUCUCCGCCA
rnacentral:tRNA from 1 species